GUUGACGUGGCCGAGUGGUCUAAGGCGCUGGAUUAAGGCUCCAGUCCGAAAGGGCGCGAGUUCGAACCUCGCCGUCAACA
rfam:Paramecium tetraurelia chromosome undetermined scaffold_42, whole genome shotgun sequence.